UCCUCCUUAGCUCAAUUGGAAGAGCACACGGCUGUUAACCGUGGGGUACUGGGAUCGAAACCCAGAGGUGGAG
rnacentral:tRNA from 1 species